CAGCAGCCGCGGUAAUACGAAGGGGGCUAGCGUUGCUCGGAAUUACUGGGCGUAAAGGGAGCGUAGGCGGACAUUUAAGUCAGGGGUGAAAUCCCAGAGCUCAACUCUGGAACUGCCUUUGAUACUGGGUGUCUUGAGUGUGAUAGAGGUAUGUGGAACUCCGAGUGUAGAGGUGAGAUUCGUAGAUAUUCGGAAGAACACCAGUGGCGAAGGCGACAUACUGGAUCAUUACUGACGCUGAGGCUCGAAAGCGUGGGGAGCAAACAGGAUUAGAGACCCCUGUAGUCCCUGUCUCUUAUAU
rnacentral:rRNA from 1 species